rnacentral:misc_RNA from 1 species
UGGUGGUGGAAAUUCCCAGAACUUUAACCAGUUUCAAAAUUUCAUUGCUCCUAUAUUGUUUAUUGCCUUUUUGUAUUCAUCAGUUCUUGUUGGUCCUCAUGACCAGAAGCAGAUUAGCUUCCAAGAGUUCAAAACCAAGCUACUUGAACCUGGCUUGGUGGAUCACAUUGUUGUUUCUAAUAAAUCAGUUGCUAAAGUGUAUGCAUGGAGCUCCCCAAAGAAUGGAAACCAAACCAGUGAUGAUGUUGUUCAGGUUCCUGCCAAUGGUAAUCCUCCUAGAAGGAACACCAGCCACUACAAAUAUUACUUUAACAUUGGGAGUAUUGAGUCUUUUGAGGAGAAGCUGGA